ACUAUCGUUAACUGAAUACAUAGGUUAACGAGGCGAACCGGGGGAACUGAAACAUCUAAGUACCCCGAGGAAAAGAAAUCAACCGAGAUUCCCCCAGUAGCGGCGAGCGAACGGGGAGCAGCCCAGAGUCUGAAUCAGCUUGUGUGUUAGUGGAACGGUCUGGAAAGUCCGACGGUACAGGGUGAUAGUCCCGUACACCAAAAUGCACAGGUUGUGAACUCGAAGAGUAGGGCGGGACACGUGGUAUCCUGUCUGAAUAUGGGGGGACCAUCCUCCAAGGCUAAAUACUCCUGACUGACCGAUAGUGAACCAGUACCGUGAGGGAAAGGCGAAAAGAACCCCGGCGAGGGGAGUGAAAAAGAACCUGAAACCGUGUACGUACAAGCAGUGGGAGCACCUUCGGGUGUGACUGCGUACCUUUUGUAUAAUGGGUCAGCGACUUAUAUUCUGUAGCAAGGUUAACCGUAUAGGGGAGCCGCAGGGAAACCGAGUCUUAACUGGGCGUUAAGUUGCAGGGUAUAGACCCGAAACCCGGUGAUCUAGCCAUGGGCAGGUUGAAGGUUGGGUAACACUAACUGGAGGACCGAACCGACUAAUGUUGAAAAAUUAGCGGAUGACUUGUGGCUGGGGGUGAAAGGCCAAUCAAACCGGGAGAUAGCUGGUUCUCCCCGAAAGCUAUUUAGGUAGCGCCUCGUGAAUUCAUCUUCGGGGGUAGAGCACUGUUUCGGCUAGGGGGUCAUCCCGACUUACCAACCCGAUGCAAACUACGAAUACCGAAGAAUGUUAUCACGGGAGACACACGGCGGGUGCUAACGUCCGUCGUGAAGAGGGAAACAACCCAGACCGCCAGCUAAGGUCCCAAAGUCAUGGUUAAGUGGGAAACGAUGUGGGAAGGCACAGACAGCCAGGAUGUUGGCUUAGAAGCAGCCAUCAUUUAAAGAAAGCGUAAUAGCUCACUGGUCGAGUCGGCCUGCGCGGAAGAUGUAACGGGGCUAAACCAUGCACCGAAGCUGCGGCAGCGACACUAUGUGUUGUUGGGUAGGGGAGCGUUCUGUAAGCCUGNGAAGGUGACCUGUGAGGGUUGCUGGAGGUAUCAGAAGUGCGAAUGCUGACAUAAGUAACGAUAAAGCGGGUGAAAAGCCCGCUCGCCGGAAGACCAAGGGUUCCUGUCCAACGUUAAUCGGGGCAGGGUGAGUCGACCCCUAAGGCGAGGCCGAAAGGCGUAGUCGAUGGGAAACAGGUUAAUAUUCCUGUACUUGGUGUUACUGCGAAGGGGGGACGGAGAAGGCUAUGUUAGCCGGGCGACGGUUGUCCCGGUUUAAGCAUGUAGGCUGGUUAUCCAGGCAAAUCCGGAUAAUCAAGGCUGAGGUGUGAUGACGAGGCACUACGGUGCUGAAGUAACAAAUGCCCUGCUUCCAGGAAAAGCCUCUAAGCAUCAGGUAACAUCAAAUCGUACCCCAAACCGACACAGGUGGUCAGGUAGAGAAUACCAAGGCGCUUGAGAGAACUCGGGUGAAGGAACUAGGCAAAAUGGUGCCGUAACUUCGGGAGAAGGCACGCUGGUGUGUAGGUGAAGCCCCUGCGGGUGGAGCUGAGACCAGUCGAAGAUACCAGCUGGCUGCAACUGUUUAUUAAAAACACAGCACUGUGCAAACACGAAAGUGGACGUAUACGGUGUGACGCCUGCCCGGUGCCGGAAGGUUAAUUGAUGGGGUUAUCCGUAAGGAGAAGCUCUUGAUCGAAGCCCCGGUAAACGGCGGCCGUAACUAUAACGGUCCUAAGGUAGCGAAAUUCCUUGUCGGGUAAGUUCCGACCUGCACGAAUGGCGUAAUGAUGGCCAGGCUGUCUCCACCCGAGACUCAGUGAAAUUGAACUCGCUGUGAAGAUGCAGUGUACCCGCGGCAAGACGGAAAGACCCCGUGAACCUUUACUAUAGCUUGACACUGAACAUUGAGCCUUGAUGUGUAGGAUAGGUGGGAGGCUUUGAAGCGUGGACGCCAGUCUGCGUGGAGCCAACCUUGAAAUACCACCCUUUAAUGUUUGAUGUUCUAACGUUGGCCCCUGACCGGGGUUGCGGACAGUGUCUGGUGGGUAGUUUGACUGGGGCGGUCUCCUCCCAAAGCGUAACGGAGGAGCACGAAGGUUAGCUAAUCCUGGUCGGACAUCAGGAGGUUAGUGCAAUGGCAUAAGCUAGCUUGACUGCGAGCGUGACGGCGCGAGCAGGUGCGAAAGCAGGUCAUAGUGAUCCGGUGGUUCUGAAUGGAAGGGCCAUCGCUCAACGGAUAAAAGGUACUCCGGGGAUAACAGGCUGAUACCGCCCAAGAGUUCAUAUCGACGGCGGUGUUUGGCACCUCGAUGUCGGCUCAUCACAUCCUGGGGCUGAAGUAGGUCCCAAGGGUAUGGCUGUUCGCCAUUUAAAGUGGUACGCGAGCUGGGUUUAGAACGUCGUGAGACAGUUCGGUCCCUAUCUGCCGUGGGCGCUGGAGAAUUGAGGGGGGCUGCUCCUAGUACGAGAGGACCGGAGUGGACGCAUCACUGGUGUUCGGGUUGUCAUGCCAAUGGCACUGCCCGGUAGCUAAAUGCGGAAGAGAUAAGUGCUGAAAGCAUCUAAGCACGAAACUUGCCCCGAGAUGAGUUCU
rnacentral:rRNA from 1 species